CACCAGUGUAUCGUGCUAAUGAGGUUUUUCUUAAUAUAAAGUGUUCUUAUUUCUCAUGUUUCUUAAUUUGGGGAUUUGGUACCCGGUUGAUAUUGUGUGCAAAUGGCUCAUUCGUUGAGACGAGCAGUGGCAGCACUACUGCGAAAACUUGAUGUCGGCACUUCGGAUGCAGAUGCCAUCGCGAAACGUGUCCGAAUUCUGGGACCGCAGAAGCCUCGGACGAUCGUGCGUCUGCAGUUGGAAGCGAAACAUGUCCAGGGUGUCUGCUCUCCAUCGCACAUCGAUUCUCUACUACACGCGG